rnacentral:rRNA from 1 species
CAAUAGCGUAUAUUAAAGUUGUUGCAGUUAAAAAGCUCGUAGUUGGAUUUCUGGCAGGGUGUCCUGCGGCCAGCAUGACGUUUGGUUCGCAGCGCCCUACCAUCCUUCUGUUAACCUUCUCGGCAUUCACUUGUCGGGUCGCGGGCUCAGAUAUUUUACCUUGAGAAAAUUAGAGUGUUUCAGGCAGGCUUUCGCCGGAAUACAUUAGCAUGGAAUAAUGGAAAAGGACUUCAGCCUCUUCUGUUGGUCUGAGCGGCUGUAGUAAUGAUUAAUAGGGAUAGUUGGGGGCAUUAGUACUUAACUGUCAGAGGUGAAAUUCUCCGAUUUGUUAAAGACUAACUUAUGCGAAAGCAUUUGCCAAGGAUGUUUUCAUUAAUCAAGAACGAAAGUUAGGGGAUCAAAGACGAUCAGAUACCAU